rnacentral:rRNA from 1 species
UACGUAGGGUGCGAGCGUUGUCCGGAAUUAUUGGGCGUAAAGGGCUCGUAGGCGGUUUGUCGCGUCGGGAGUGAAAACCUCGGGCUUAACUCGGGGCUUGCUUUCGAUACGGGCAGACUGGAGGUAUGCAGGGGAGAACGGAAUUCCUGGUGUAGCGGUGAAAUGCGCAGAUAUCAGGAGGAACACCGGUGGCGAAGGCGGUUCUCUAGUACGGUACUGACGCUGAGACGCGAAAGCGUGGGGAGCGAACAGG